AUGCCCGUCCGCCGCGCUCCGCAGCUGCGCGCUGGGCCCAGCCGCCCGACCGCCAGCAAACGCCGGCACCAACCGCCGCGCCUCCGGGCUGUUGGGCGGGUGGUAAUUUCUGGGAAUGGGGCGGGGUCGCGGGUGUACUACUCCCGGCGACUGCGAGCGGAGGAGGAGCGGGCGGCGCCGAGGGGCGCGAGGCUGGCGGGGCGGUGCGCCACGUGCGUCACCGGCCGGGGCGGGGCGGGCGUCGCGCUCCUGCCGCCCGCACCCCCACCUUUCACUCAGCCGAGGCUGAGGAGUGGGGACAGGAAGGACCGGGCUAGGAGUUUUUGCAAAACCUCGCCCCCUCGUAACUGUCAGACUGCCCGAGUGUGGGGCCGUCUCCGGAGAAGGGUGGGAGUCCUGAGUUGGGGAUGCCCGUCUUUACCUGGGAAGGCGGGUUUGGGAGAAGUUGGGCGAGGAGAGGAGGGCGGGAUUCAAGAGAGCAAAAGAGGCAGUUCGGUGGGCUGGUGGGGGCCCGAGGGCUGCGGGGCCCCGCGGGGUAUAAAUAGCCGGCCCGCGUUUGACAGGCGCUGCGGUGACUGGCGUUGCCGCUCCGGCCCCCCCGUCGCGUGGGGAGGGGAGGAGCGCUCAGAUCAGGCGGGGAGGGGGAGGCGGACUCCAGUGUCCUGGUGGUGGCGGCUGGAGGCCGAGAGGGAGGAGCCGAGGCGGGGGGUGGAGGGAGGGGGCCGGGAGCGGGGCGGGGGCCACCAUUGCUCCCCGCGCCGAGCUCUGUGUCGCCUCCGUAGCCUUGGCUGUUGGGGGUCGGUGGGACGGCGCGGGCGGGGGGACGCUGCGCGGGGAGGCGCGCCUCUGUUUUGUCUCCUCCUCUGCCUGUGGAGCGGCUUUGGCGGCUGGGGAGGCCCCGGUUCCCUCUGGACGCCCGGCCAACCGCAGCGGCGGCGGCGGCUAGUCCGCGGCCCUGCUGAGAGGGAAAGGGACGCCGCGGUCUUCCUGGGCGACGCAGAGAGCAGAGACGUUCUUUGCGGAGAGUCUCCACGGUUUCGUGCCUCAGCAGUGCUCAGACGGAACCCAGCGCUUGUCUCCUACUUCAGCCGGCCGCCCACAGCCAGCCUUCUGUCACCUCUACACCUCGUUCUCUAACCGCCCCAAGGCCCCCGCAGGCUGUCCUUAGCCGCUGCUGCGAAGACCACAUCUCCUUCGCAGGUGCGCCAGAACUACCACCAGGAUUCAGAGGCCGCCAUCAACCACCAGAUCAACCUGGAGCUCUACGCCUCCUAUGCUUACCUGUCCUCCAUGUCUUACUACUUUGACCGCGAUGAUGUGGCUUUGAAGAACUUUGCCAAGUACUUUCUUCACCAAUCUCAUGAGGAGAGGGAACAUGCCGAGACACUGAUGAAGCUGUAGAACCAACGAGGUGGCCGCAUCUUCCCUCAGGAUAACAAGAAAACAGCAUGAUGACUGGGAGAGCGGGCUGAAUGCCAUGGAAUGUGCAUUACAUUUGGAAAAAAAUGUGAAUCAGUUACUACUAGAACUGCACAAACUGGCCACUGACAAAAAUGACCCCCAUUUGUGUGACUUCAUUGAGACACAUUACCUGAAUGAGCAGGUGAAAUCCAUCAAAGAAUUGGGUGACCACGUGACCAACUUGUGCAAGAUGGGAGCGCCCCAAUCCUGCUUGGCAGAAUAUCUCUUUGACAAGCACACUUUGGGAGACGGUGAUAAUGAAAGCUAAGCCUUAGGCUAAUUUCCCCAUAGCCACGGGGUGACUUCCCUGGUCACCAAGGCAGUGCAUGCAUAUUGGGGUUUUCUUUACUUUUUUUGUAAGUUGUACCAAAACAUCCACUUAAGUUCUUUGUACCAUUCCUUCAAAUAAAGAAAUUUGGUACCAAAAAAAAAAAAAUGUAUAAAUAUAUAUAAUAAAAAAAGCUUUUUCACGAAUUCAAAAAAAAUGUAUUCUGGAUGUAAGUUCUUUAUUAUAAUAUAUCAUCUGUAAAUAUUUCUUUACAGUCUGUUGAUGGUCGUCUUAUUUCUUAAAAAACUGGUGAUUGGGAUCUUUUAAAGAGCAUUAGUUAAUUUUUUUUUUUUUUUUUUUGAGACGGAGUUUCGCUCUUGUUACCCAGGCUGGAGUGCAAUGGCACGAUCUCGGCUCACCGCAACCUCCGCCUCCUGGGUUCAGGCAAUUCUCCUGCCUCAGCCUCCUGAGUAGCUGGGAUUACAGGCACGCGCCACCAUGCCCAGCUGAUUUUUUGAAUUUUUAGUAGAGACAGGGUUUCACCAUGUUGACCAGGAUGGUCUCGAUCUCUUGACCUCGUGAUCCACCCGCCUCGGCCUCCCAAAGUGCUGGGAUUACAGGCUUGAGCCACUGCGCCUGGCCUAAUUUUUUUUUUAAAGACUAGUCAAUGAAGUAGUGAGAAGGGGGGACAAUUUUGAUGAAGUGUAGUUUCUGAAUUUUUUCUUUUAUAAAUUAUGCUUUUGUUAUCUUAUUGAAGAACUUUCUACCUAAUCCAAGAUCUUGAGAUUUUUCAGUUUUCUAGAAGUUUUAUAGUUUUAGCUCUAACAGAUUUUAUCAUCUAUUUUGAAUUAAUUUCUGUGUAUGGUGAGAAAUAAGGUUCUAAAUUCAUCUUUUAUAUACAGAUUGUUCUGUCAACCUAAAUAAAAGACAAGAAAGUCCCUCUGGGGGGAAAAAAAAAUUCAGGAUUGGGCAUUAUAAUGGGAAUAUGCAUACCAUAGUAAACUAUGUGCAUAUUCAGGGAUAUAAAGGAAGACAUACAUUUUUAAAGGGAAAGUGAGGAGGAUUACAUCAUUGUUUUAAAUCAGUUAUCUUUGGCUAUAGAGAUCUGUGACAAGAGUGGUGCCAGUCUGAGGUUGGACAUGAAGUUACUUGGCAGAUGUCCUUGCAGAAGUAUUUUUUUUUUUUUUUAUUUGAGACUGAGUUUCGCUCCUUACCCAGGCUGGAGUGCAAUGGUGCAAUCUCAGCUCACUGCAACCUCUGCCUCCUGGGUUCAGGCAAUUCUCCUGCCUCAGCGUCCUGAGUAGCUGGGAUUACAGGCACAUGCCAUCAUGCCCAGCUAAUUUUUUGUAUUUUUAGUAGAGACGGGGUUUCACCAUGUUGACGAGGAUGGUCUCGAUCUCUUGACCUCGUGAUCCACCCACUUUGGCCUCCCAAAGUGCUGGGAUUAUAGACGUGAGCCACUGCGCCCGGCCCAGAAGUAUUUUUUUUGUCUAAGGUUGUGAUUGCCUUUGUGCAAGAUUGUGGCCUUUAUUUAUUUAUUUUUUUGAGAUGGAGUUUCGCCACUGUUACCCAGGCUGGAAUGCAAUGGCACAAUCUUGGCUCACCGCAACUUCUGCCUCCUGGGUUCAGGUAAUUCUCCUGCCUCAGCCUCCUGAGAAGCUGGGAUUGCAGAUGUGCGCCACUGUGCCCGGCUAAUUUUUUGUAUUUUUAGUAGAGACGGGGUUUCACCAUGUUGACCUGGAUGGUCUCGAUUUCUUGACCUCGUGAUCCACCCGCCUUGGCCUCCCAAAGUGCUGGGACUACAGGCUUGAGGUAUUUUUUUUUGUUUCUGUUUUUGUUUUUUUUGAGAUGGAGUCUUACUCUGUUGCCAGGUUGGAGUACAGUGGGGCGAUCUCAGUUUACGGCAACCUCCGCCUCCCGGGUUCAAGCAAUUCUCCUGCCUCAGCCUCCUACAGAGCUGGGAUUACAGGCCUCCACCACCAGGCCCGGCUAAUUUUUUUAUUUUCAGUAGAAAUGGGGUUUCACCAUGUUGGCCAGGCUGCUCUCGAACUCCUGACCUCAAGUGGUCUGCCUGCCUUGGCCUUUGAAAGUGCUGGGAUUACAGGCAUGAGCCACAGGCAAUAGUUGUAUGUGUUUUUUUAAAUCAGGUAUUCAUGCAUGAGAAACCUCCUUUCAUGGCCUUCCCAGGCUCCAUAUGUCAGGGCUUUUAGCACAAAUGACUUAAUUUUAAUUCUAACAACUUUCACUUCUUCCCCUUUUGAUCAACAUUUUUCUUUAGGCCCAGGCAUGGUGCCUCAUGCCUGUAAUCCUAGCACUUUGGGAAGCAGAGACUGGAGGAUUGCUUGAGCCCAGGAGUUUGAGACCCGCCUGGGCAACAUGGCAAGACCCUGUCUUUAAAAAGCAAAACAAAGAGUUUUCUUUGAAAGCAUCACUGACCAGUCAUCUUGUAGUUAGGUUUUACUUAUCUUUACGUGCCAGAAUGGAUCUGUUCUGGGUUGUUGGUAUGGUCCCAUGUUGGAGGGAAUGCUUGUCAAACUAGGAGUCAGUGUCAGGACCCUUUCAGUCAUGUUUGAGCAACAAGAAAAGUUUGGAGGGAGUGAUUCUCAGGCUAAGUCUGCUGGGAAUCCAUUAUUAAGAUGAGUUUGUAUCUGUUCCCCAAAUGUUGGCUAUCAUCUCAAGGUGUAGGGCCAGCCCAGCAUAAUUCUGCUGGGAGUAGUACUUCUAUAGAAAUAUAACAAAUAACAUGUACAAAGUUUAAAAAGAAAAUACUAAGUAAGAUUAAUAGUAAUAUGGUAAUACCAGUUUACAUAAUGGUUUUCAGCCAUGAAGUUAGACGUAAAGGCAAUCAGUUGAAUAAACCAAGUGACCAUGGAAUACUAGAUCAGACCUGUUGUAACCACGUGUUCUGUUUUCUUAUUUUGUAUAUGAGUCUCAACUUUCUCAAAGGAAUUUAUCCAGGUAAGCCGGGCGUGGUGGCUCACUCAUAAUCCCAGCACUUCAGGAGGCUGAGGCAGGCAGAUCACCUGAGGUCAGGAGUUAAGAGACCAGCCUGACCAAUAUGGUGAAACCCUGUCUUUAAAAAAAAAAGGAAUUUAUCUAGGUACAUCAUGUAGUAUUAGUAAUAGCACAGACAUUACUUAACCAAUAGCUAAUGCAGAGCAAUUUUAUCAUUUGGUAUUCCAUAACUGGGUUGAAUUAAAGCAGAGUGAAUAAUUUUAUUAAGGAUGUUGUCAGAGUCCACCCACUAGGUGGACUGAAGGAUCUCUUAGGUUCUUUCAAGUUACCAGUGGAAGCUACUGAUUAUGAAAUUUCAAUUACAACAUUACCUUGCCAAGUGAAAAAGUUACGUGUUAAGAGGGGUAAGAGUCUCCUCUUGUUCAGUUGUCUUGGGAAAAGCUGUCUACAGUGUGGAACCCUCUACUUCUCAUCCUGUCUUGCAGUUUGAAUGUCUCUGGUUAAAGGCAUUGGGCAGUUUGGUGAACUUUUCUGUGUGGCUCAGAUAUCGAGGACCCGACUUACCCCUUAAAAUUCAUCAAGUUUCAUCUUAUAGGGCUUCAGGAGCAGAGACAUUUCUGUUUUAAUAAUUCUAUGGAAGAAAGUUGGAUUGAAGGAACCUAGAAGAAUUUAGAAUCUAGGCCUAGAAGAAUUUAGAAUCUCAAAUACAAUAUACAGGACUAUAGUCUAAUAACAGAUACAUACAGGUAGCUUUUCUUUCUUUUUUUUUUUUUUAAGACAGUCUCCCUCUGUCACCAGGCGCCAGGCUGGAGUGCAGUGGCGUGAUCUUGGCUCACUGCAACCUCCACCUCCUGGGUUCAAGCAAUUCUCCUGCCUCAGCUUCCCGAGUAGUGGGUACUACAGGUGCAUACCACCAUGCCCAGCUAAUUUUUGUAUUUUUAGUAGAGACGGGGUUUCACCAUGUUGGCCAGAAUGAUCUCUAUCUCUUGACCUUGUGAUCCGCCUGCCUUGGUCUCCCAAAGUGCUGGGGUUACAGGCAUGAGCCACUGUGCUGGCCACUGUGCAGGUAGCUUUUCUUCUCUUUUUUUUUAAAAAAAAUUUUUUUUUUUUUUUUUAAGAUGGGGUUUCACCAUGUUGGUCAGGCUGGUCUUGAACUCCUGACCUCAGGUGUUCCGCCCGCCUUGGUCUCCAAAAUGCUUGGAUUACAGGCUUGAACCACUAUGCCCGGUCUUUUAAAAAUUUUUAAAUAAAUAUAUAUGUAUUUUUAAGCUUUUCUUUAGAAACAUAACUUUUCUCUAGAAACAUAACUUUUCUCUUUAUAGUCAUCCCUCUACCAAAGAUAAUCAGAAUCAGAUAAAUGUAUUUUUAAGCUUUUCUUUAGAAACAUAACUUUUCUGUAGAAACAUAACUUUUCUCUUUAUAGUUAUCCCUCUACCAAAGAUAAUCAGAAUCAGAUAAAUUUUUUUACAAAAUAGUUUUAUCAGUGUUUUUGUCUGAUCAUUUACAUAAGUGCAGCUGUUGGCCACAAAGAAAUCUCAGAUUUAUAAACCUUUCAAGACCAGGAAGCCAAACCAAAGCAGGCAUUAGAUUUGGCCUACAACCUUAAGGUUCCUGGACUGGCCAAAAAAUGACAGAUUCUCUCGCUGUAAGGAUGGGAACUCUUGAACCUAGACAUUCCAUGCAGAUCCUUAAAUAUCAUAUUCCAGUCAAAGCUUUGGUAAUAUAACUAAUGUUUCCAAUUGUAUCCUGCAAUAAGGAGAACAGAUUUUUAUUGAAUUUAUGCAAACAACUAUAUUAUCAUAAAAAUAAGACUCAUGAACAGUUUCUGAAUUUUGGAGGGGGAGGGAUCAAGUAGGGAGAAAAAGUAAAUGCUUCUGCUUUUGUUGAGAGAAGUAUUAUCUUACCAAAUUACUGCAAAUGAUUGAUACUUUAAGAGAAUAAGUUUUCUUAGAUCUGGAAAACAAAACAUUAAAGAACCAACAAUGUUUCAUAUAAAAGUCAAAAACAUCAUUGAUUAUUUAAUCUCAUAUUUUGUGUUAUUCUUAAUUAGCAGUUUCUCCAGCUAAUCAGUUUCUUCAUUAGAAUUGUGGAACAUAUUUAGUCCAUUAAGCUUAAAGUUCUUAGAAAUGUAUAUUUAAGAGUACAGGUCUUUUCUAUGAAUCUGAUUGCAGAUAUUUUUAAAAUUUAUUUUUGAGAUGGAGUUUCACUCUGUUGCCCAGGCUGGAGUGGAGUGACGUGAUGUCAGCUCACUGUAACCUCCGCCUCCCAGGUUCAAGUGAUUCUUGUGUUUCAGCCUUCCAAACAGCUGGGAUUUACAGGUGCACGGCAGCACACUCAGCUACUUUUUGUAUUUUUAGUAUUUUUUUUCUUUCUCUCUUUUUCCUUUCUUUCUCUUUCUCCCUCUCUCUUUUUCCCUUCUUCCUUUUUUUUGAUAUAGAGACUCGCUCUGUCUCCACUACAAUCACACCUCACUGCAGGCUCAGCUUCAGUGGCUCAAAUGAUUCUUCCACCUCAGCCUCCUGAGUAGUGGAGACUACAGGCACAUGCCAGUGUGUCUGGCUAAUUUUUGUAUGUUUUUAGAAACAAGAGUUUCACCAUGUUGCCCAGGCUAGUCUUGAACUCCUGGGCUCAAGUGAUCUUACUGUUUCUGCCUCCCAAAGUGCUGGGAUUACAGGCCUGAGCCACACACAAAAUUUAUUUAAUAAAUUAAUCCUUCACAAACCUUCCACAACUUAAUCAGACCUUCCAGAACAUUCUUGGGCCUUUAGCUUUGCGUUAUACUUUCUCUUACUUACAUAACCAGUCAUUUCCCUUUAGGAUGCAGUUUACUUUCUUUUUUUCCUCAUCAUUUUGAAAAGUUAUUCUCCUUUUAACCUUCCUUUCCAAAAUUACAUCCUUAUAACAUUCUUUACAUUUACCUCUCUUGCUUACUGAGUUCUUUUUAUCUUAUUUCUUUCCUAAAUAUUACAUUUAACAACCUUAAAUAACCUCUGAAUUUACACAGUGUUAUUCUUUUUUCUCAGUGAAUAAUGAAUUACUAUGCUUUUCUCAUAAUUUCUCUCAUCAAAGCCAUAUGAUGUUUUUUGGUAUACUUCAUAUACAGAAUUAUAUACACUAGUUAGAAUUUCUAACUUACGAACCUUGAUUUUUAGUGAAAACCUAGGAAGUAUGAAAUUUUGGUCUAUUAUAUCAGUAUUUUAUAGAUGAGAAUCAUUGGCCAGAUGCAGUGGCUCAAACCUGUAAUCCCAGCACUUUGGGAGGCUGAGGUGGAUGGAUCGUGAGGUUAGGAGAUUGAGAUCAUCCUGUCUAACACGGUGAAACCCCGCCUCUAAAAAGAAAAGAAAGAAAUCCUUUUAUAAUUUUUAUUUGUUAUAUUUUGGGUUAGGGUCUCUCACUAUUGCUCAGCCUAGAGUGCAGGAGCAUGAUGAUAGCGUAUUAUAACCUUGAACCUCUGGGGUCAAAUGAUCCUCCUGUCUUAGCCUCCAGAGUAGGUGGGAUUACAGGAGCAUGCUACCAGGUCUGGCUAAUUAAAACAUUUUUUUGUAGAGACAGGGUCUUGCCAUGUUGCUCAGGCUGGUCUUGGACUCCUGACCUUAAGUGAUCCUAUUGCUCCAGCCUUCAAAAGUGCUGGGAUAGCAGGUGUGAGCCACUAUGCCUAGACUUUUAAAUAAUUAUUACAAACAUUCUCCAAAACAUAAUUUUAUGUGUAUUAAUAGACCUAAAUAUAUUCAGUCUUUCUAUAAGAUUCAAGAAGGCAAGCACAAACGUAUUUAUAUUCAGCAAUUAGUGUUUCAGAAAUGAUCUGGACAUUUAAUGAGUAUCACUUAAUUUAGCAUAACUUUAAGAUUUCAAAUUUUGUGAAAAGUUCAUUUAUAAUGUAAAUUAAAAGCUAAAAUUUACUGAGCUAUCAUGUUCUAAGAACUUUGCAUGUUUUAUAAUAUUUAAUCCUGACAAUAACUCUCUAACACAGAUGAUAUUAUUUCCAUUUUAUAGAUGAGAUAACUAAGGUUCGAAGAACUUAAGUAACUUGUCAAAGAAACCACAAAUAGGAUGUCAAAUCUAGAACUUAAAUGCUGAUCCUUCUAACUCAUAAACAUUUAAUUUCAUUUAUAUUUACAUUAUAUAUAUAUACAUAUUUUUGAGACAGAGUCUUGCUCUGUUGCCCAGGCUGGAAUGCAGUGGCACAAUCUUGAGUGGCACAAUCUUGACUCACUGCAGCCUCUACCUCCUGGGUUCAAUUUUCCUGCCUCAGCCUCCUGAGUAACUGGGAUUACAGGUGCCUGUUACCACACCCAGCGAAUUUUCAUAUUUUUAGUAGAGAUGGGUUUUCACCAUGUUGGCCAGGCUGGUCUUGUUAUUUUUUGACUUUUUAAUGGCCGUGCUGACUGGUGUGAGAGGGUAUUUCAUGGUUUUUUUUUUUUUUUUUUUUUUUUUUUUGCAAUGGGGUCUCAUUCUUUCGCCCAGGUUGGAGUGCAGUGGAACAGUCAUGUCAUGGCUCACUGCAACCUGUGCCUCCCCAGCUCAUGCCUCAGUCUCCCAAGUAGCUGCGACCGCAGAUGUGUGCCACCACACUGGCUAAUUUUUGUAUGUUUUGUGGAGACAGGGUUUUUUCAUGUUGUUGUCUAGGCUGGUCUCAAACUCCUGGGCUCCUGAGAUCUGUUCACAUCAGCCUCCCAAAGUGCUGGGAUUACAGGUGUGAGCCACCUUGCCUGGCUUAUCGUGGUUUUGACUUGUAUUUCUAUCCAGAGUAUAUUUACAUGAUACUUUCCUGUUCGAUUUUCACCAUCAUAAAACAGGUGGAACAAGUCACUGUUGAUUAGGUUAUGUGUGAGAACCUGACUAGGUUCUUUGGUUGAAGAUUUCUCAAAACGUCAAAACAUGUCUGAUAAGGAAAGUAUCAAAAUAUCUUCAAAGUGCUGGGCACUGUGGCCCAUGCCUAUAAUUCCAGCACUUUGGGAGGCUAAGAUGGGAAGAUUGCUUGAAGCCAGGAGUUUCAGACCAGCCUGGGCAACAUAAUGAGACCCCAUCUCUGCAAAAAAUGAAAAAUCCUUAGUUGGGUAUGGUGGCAUGUGCCUAUAGUCCUAGCUACUCAGGGGCCUGAGGCAGGAGGAUUGCUUGAGCCCAGGAGGUUGAGGCUGCAGUGAGCUGUAAUAUGAUGCCAUUGGACUCCAGCCUGGGUAACAGAGUGAAACCCAGUUUCAAAAAAGAAAAAAUUAUACGGAAUUUUGAUGAUGUCACAAAUAUCUAAGUUCAUUUCUUACCUCUGUGUAUGUAUGAGGGAGGGAGAUUAAUAUUUUAGUCAAUGAUCAGAUACAUAACAGUAGUUCUGUAAGAUAAUAAUACCGGGCCGGGAGCGGUGGCUCACGCCUGUAAUCCCAGCACUUUGGGAGGCUGAGGCGGGUGGCUCACGAGAUCAAGAGAUCAAGACCAUCCUGGUUAACAUGGUGAAACCCCGUCUCUACUAAAAAUACAAAAAAUUAGCUGGGCGUGGUGAUGCAUGCCUGUAAUCCCAGCUUCUCAGGAAGCUUAGGCAGGAGAACUGCCUGAACCCAGGAGGUGGAGGUUGCCAUGAGCCAAAGUCGCGCCAUUGCACUCCAUCCAGCCUGGGUAACAAGAGUGAAACUCCAUCUCAAAAAAAAAAAAAAAAAAAGAUUAUAAUACCUUAGUUUUACUGUACCUUUUCUGUGUUUAGAUAUGCAAAUACUUUCCAUUAUGUUAAAAUUAUCUAUAGUAUUCAGCAUAGUAACAUGCUGUACAGGUUUGUAGACCGGUAGCAGUAAGCCAUAUCAUAUAGCCUAGGUGUGUAAGUAGGCUUACAUCAUCUAUGUAUGUGUAGGUACACUCUAUAAGGUUUGCACAAUGACAAAAUCCUUAGGUUCAAAAGUGCAUAAGGACCUAAGGAUGCAUUUCUCAGGAGGUAUUCCUGCCAUUAAGCAAUGCAUCACUGUAUGUGUACACCACAUAAAAAUAUAUGUGUAAGAUUAAGGCUGGGUAUAGUGGCUCACGCCUGAAAUUCCAUCACUUUGGGAGGCUGAAGAGGUUGGAUGAUUUGAAGUCAGGAGUUCGAGACCAGCCCGGUCAAUAUGGUAAAACCCUUUCUCUACUAACAAUACAAAAAUUAGCCGGGCAUGGUGGCAUGUGCCUGUUAUCCCAGCUACUUGGGAGGCUGAGGCAGGAGAAUUGCUUGAACCUGGAAGGCAGAGGUUGCAGUGAGCUGAGAUAGUACCACUGCACUCCAGCCUGGGUGAUGGAGUGAGACUCUGUCUUAAAAAAAAAAAGUAUAUAUAUAUGUGUGUGUGUGUGUGUGUAUAAAAUUAAGAACAUGUAUCUUAAUCUUAAUUGGAUUAAUCAGUGUCAAGGCCAUGAAUAUUUAAGAUAUCAUUAGUCAUGGUAUGAGACCAUGUGUAUACCACAUAAGAAUAUAUGUAUAAGAUUAAUAACAUCUUAACUGCUUAACUCAGUGUCAAGGCCAUGAGUAAAUAAGGAUUUUAAGAUUGUUAGUUAUGGUAUGAGACUCUUGAAAACUUAUUUUUAUGAUUGGCAAGUUAUAUUGCUUAAUUUUCCAGUUAAUUUUUCAAUCAAUUUUUUCUUGCUAAAUGAGCUGUAAAAUCUC